GCCGCGGUAAUUCCAGCUCCGAUAGCGUAUAUUAACGUUGUUGCAGUUAAAAAGCUCGUAGUUGAAGUGAGGGAGUGUGUGUUCAUGAGAGCUAGUCUCGAGUGUUCACAACCUCCCCCCUCCAAUCGGUGUAGUGGGGUAUUCAGUUAUUUCACUACUCCUUUGGUCGUUUACUGUGAGAAAAUUAGAGUGUUCAAAGCGGGCGUUUGUUUGAAUAGAUUAGCAUGGAAUAAUGAUUGAAGGCUUUCGUGUUCGAUUUGAUUGGUUUGUUCAUGGAAGCAAGGUUAAAAGGAACAGUUGGGGGUAUUCAUAUUCACUAGUUAGAGGUGAAAUUCUCGGAUUUAUGGAAGAUGAACAAGUGCGAAAGCA
rnacentral:rRNA from 1 species